AUUGCCUCAGUAACGGCGAGUGAAGCGGCAACAGCUCAAAUUUGAAAUCUGGCUCCCCUUGGGGGUCCGAGUUGUAAUUUGGAGAGGAUGUUUCUGGCGCGGCGCCUUCCGGAGUUCCUUGGAACAGGACGCCACAGAGGGUGAGAGCCCCGUACGGUCGGCCGCCAAACCUCCAAAAGAAACUCCUUCGACGAGUCGAGUAGUUUGGGAAUGCUGCUCAAAAUGGGAGGUAAAUUUCUUCUAAAGCUAAAUACCGGCCAGAGACCGAUAGCGCACAAGUAGAGUGAUCGAAAGAUGAAAAGCACCUUGAAAAGAGGGUUAAACAGUACGUGAAAUUGUUGAAAGGGAAGCGCCUGCGACCAGACUCGCGCCCCGCGGACCAGCCGGCGUUCUCGCCGGUGCACUCCGCGGGGUGCGGGCCAGCAUCGGUUUUCCCUGGGGGAGAAAGGCCGCGGGAACGUAGCUCCUUCGGGAGUGUUAUAGCCCGUGGCGUCAUGCCCCAGGGGGGACCGAGGACCGCGCUUCGGCAAGGAUGCUGGCGUAAUGGUCGUCGGCGACCCGUCU
rnacentral:rRNA from 1 species